CAGCUCUACUCUGAAGAAAGGUGACGGUUGUCCUUCCCUGACUACCCAAACAAACAGGCUCUAUGUGGUAUUGAAUACAUGAUAUUUGGAUUUGAGUAGGUAUGUUUAAAAUGUCCUCUGAAUGAAGCAAAACAAUGCAAGGAGGUGAGUGCCUCAUCCAUCAGAUUUUCUGCUCUCCCCCCAUUUCAGACCCCAGAGUUGGGAAGUGCUGAUCCUUCUCGUGUUCAUUUUCAUGGAAAGUAUAGGGCACAACUGGAAAGAAAUGUGGUUACAGCUCCAGAUCCACCCACGGGAAGGGAGGGCUGGGAGCACUGCAGCAUGGGCACUGAAGGAUUUGUCGAGGUUUAAAGUGGACAGGCACAGGUGCAACAGGUGUUUGCCACAGGUGUGUUGGAAGAACACUAUGCAUUGCCAGAUUUUACUGCUGAUGUGCUCUGUGGUCUAGAGGUCUCACUGUGCGAUGUCUUCCAAAAUCUAUCUAGACUACCCAGAAUGUGAAAAUCUAUAACUGUUUUCAGAUCCCCAGUGUUCUUUCAGUAGUCUGCCUUGAGAUGACAGUGCAUACACUGGUUCUCAUGCUCUUGUUAUAGGCUAUAGUCUAAUGUGUUGCUGUACAAAGUCUGCAUUCAGUAGCUGGGCUCUCCACAGCUCCUUCUUCUAGCUGCAUAAUGGGUAACUGGAAAGGGCAGAUGAUAACAGCUGCACAACAGAUUAAUAAGCCAUCUAUCAAAGCAUUAGCAGGCCUGGAUGACCUGCAGCAUGGACUGGGCUGGCUGUGAAGGGAACUUGCUCUGUGUCUGGUCCCCAGUAUGAAGUUUUCUUUCUCAUUCUCUGUUCCAAGAAAGAAAGAAUCAGCCUUUAGGGUUGACUUCUUCCAAAAGAUUUAGUGUUUGAUUCCCAGUCUCAGUACUCAUGCUUUCUCCUCAGCUGCUGCUUAGUCCUGAAAGUCUCAGUUUCCAAGAUAAAUCCAUCUGCCGGAGCUCGCCUGGCAACAGCAAGGGCUGCAUUCAGGCUUAGUAGUGUGAGCCCGAGAGAAAGAAAAGUUGUCCAAAAUGUUGUUGUUCUUGUUGAGUUAGUUUUCCCCAGUUGCAGAGAAAUCACAGCAUAAGGAUUGUUUUGUUUUUUUUUUUUUAAAGGGACAAGAAAUCUCUAACAGAAUAGGUGAGUGGUUACAAUCAUGACUGAUUUCUGGAGUGUAUCUGAUACCUAAACAGUUUUUACUCAUUUUUAUUCUGGUGAGUAUUCUUUUUUCUUGCACUAACAUAAAUUAAUAAAUUAAGAUUAAUUCUGUUGAGUUACCAGACGUGCACUGAGCUAUGCAAUUGGGUUGUGUUAGCUGCUUCUUGCCCCACUACGUGCUCUACGUGGCCUGUCCACGAGCACCUGAUACCUGCAAAGUGAGUGUGUCUGAUCCUAUCUCUUGGUCCAUCUUAUCCACUGUUCUCUACUGUAGUGGAUUUCAGCAGGGCCCUUCUCCGUGUUUCCUCCAAAUGAGUUCUGGGGAAGGAGGAUUGUCAUCAUGGCUGGUUUUGCCAGGAUGUGACAUCAGGCAAGGCUGGAACUGGUGGGGAAAGCUGAAAGUAUCUGACCUAGCCAUGUCAGUGUGACGUGUCUGACCUGUGCAGGUGGCUGCGAGCAUGAGAACCCCCUUCCUAAAGCACAGAGAGAUGGAGCUCUUAACUCCAUUUGGCUUGUUGGAGCUGUUUGCCACUUUCCAAUGAACUAUUUGGCAAAUUCCAUGUGUUCCUCAGCUACUUUCCCUGCAGCUAUUUCCUAUAGCAUCAAUCAGACGUAUGAACUGACUACAAAACCCAACUGAAAUCCAAAGCAGUUGGUUUGUUCUCAGGGCAGAGAAACGGCUUGUAUCACCAUCCUCCUCACCACCACAUCAGCUUUGAGCACUGGAUAAGUCACAGCCUUUGCUGAAGUCUUACUGUUCAGUGUACUCUGGAUCUAUCUUUCUUGGGCUGCUUCACCAAAGCCCUCCUGGAAGGGAAGGUUGAGCAUUGGGUGCCACUUCUAAGGACUUGGAUAGACCUUUGCAGGAGCAGCAUUCAUCCUUUUUUUUAUCUUCCAGGAACUCAUCAGCUGAUAGUACAAAACCUCAUACCAACCUCCUCCAGCACACUGCCAGUUAAACAACACCUGCUAGGGAAAAGAAAGAAACAUUUAAAAAGGAAAAUGAGAUAAUGAAAACUAAGUACCAUUUUGAACCACAUCAAUCUUGCUACAGUAAACAAGGCUGGAUGACUCGAGGACCAUGCUGAUAAGGACAUCCUAGUUAGCAACAGUAGCUUUUCUGUCUCCUUUCCAGAGAUUAUUUCUUUCUGUCUCAGGAAUCAAAUCAACUGGGUUCUUCUUGUGGAUUGUAAACUACGCCAAAGCCAAUCAGUGCAAACCCACUGCCUUCACUGAGUUUCUUCUGCUUUCUGGCAGCUUAAGUUCUGGCUUUUACUGAUUCUACAGACAAAUCCAAGUUGCUCAAUAUGUUUCAUGAGUCUGCAGCUACCUACACAUGAGUUUCAAAAGAAGAUCAGAGGUCUACACCAACAUAAAUGAUCUCACAUAUUUCAGGGCUAAGCCUGGAGCCAGCACACACAGAUUAGGGUGAUAAAAACCUUUGUUUCUCCAGGACUUCAGGUCUCCCUGCAUAAUUUGAGCUGGAAAAACCAAUCUCAUGAGUGCCUCAAUGAAUCUCCUUUCUCUCAUCUCAUGAGUUUGGAGUAUCAAAACACCAGUGCAGCCAUGUUAGGGGACACAAGCUUUGUUUUCCUCUAGGCAUGCUGUCUCUGCAAGAGGCCGGCUGCCCAUACACCAGCAGCAGAAUGGCUGAGCUCUCUGAAGUUUCACAAGCAAAGCUUCCUUUCAUGUGCUGAGCCUCACUGUGGCUGACCUUCCUCUCUCUGUAUUCAGGACCCAGCAUCAUUGCAGCUUGCAACAAGGCUCGUGGCGGGGGAUGUCAGAGGGCAGGAAGCGAUGUCUGGAAGUGCCCCUGGGUCAUCACUGCAGACGGGGAUAUGUGUGGGAGGGCACAAAAGAGCAAAGCAGGAAAGCAAUGCAAAAAACAGAGAUGGAAAAAUAAAAGUGAAAUUGCACAGCAAACAGCAGUAAAGAAGAAAAAGUGUUUGCAGUAGCGUCGGUGCAGGAAGUGACUGCGGAGGUCAAAGGUGGUCACAGGGAAAUGGCAAUGACAGGAAUAUGAAGCAUUUCAGGAAAUAUAAAUGCACUUUUCUUCCAGUCCUCAGAGAGCAAUAAUGAGAGCAAUGUCAGUGACAGGCAGACACUUGCAGGGGAGAAAAAGAAGUAGUGAGAGGGCUCCAGGUAGUGUCACAGUGAGUAGCGAAGGGCUCUCUCUUGCUGGUGGUGAAUGUCUCAGGGCCAGAACUCAGCCUGGGGUCCUGAGGAUCUCAAAAAAUCAAAUAAUCGUUUGAGUUGGAAGAGACCUUUAAAGGCCAUCCAAUCCAACUCUUCUACAGUGAUCAGGGACACCUACAGCUCCAUCAGGUGCUCAGAGCCCCGUCCAGCCUGACCUUGAAUAUCUUCAAGGAUGACGCAUCCACUACCUCACUGGGCAACCUGUUCUAGUGCAUCACUAUACUUAUCAUAAAAAAAAAACAAAACUUCUUCCUUAUGUUCAGUGUACAUCUCCCCUCUUUUGGUUUGAGCCACUUCCCCCUGUCCUGUCACAACAGUUCCUGAAAAAUAGUCUGUCCCUUACUUUCUUACAGCCCCCCUUUAGAUACGAUAAGUAUCUCAGCACUGAGCCAGGCAAAGUGAGGCUAUGCUGGAUGGACAGAUGUCUCUCACCCGCUGCUGUCUCAGGCUCUGGCCUUCAGCAGCUAGUGGGUCCAGCCAGGUAGAAACGUUGAGAAGUUUAAUUUGAUUAAUAAUGGUCUGCAAUGGCUAACAAAAGAAAAUUGCGCUUAACAAAUUUUAUGGAAACUUACAGUUGCUGAAGUGGGUGACAUUAAGAGCUGAGAGGCAGAUGCCGUGGGUGUAAUUUACCUGGCCUUCAGUACAACCUUCAGUAUAGAAUAAAUGAAUACAUUCAAUUUGCAUUUAUAUAGCUCCUUUUCAUCCGCACCCUGUGGCAAGGCAUCUUACAAACGUCUCAUGGGCUGUUUGAAAGUUGUGUUCGUGACAAACUGAGAUGAAGGGAGUCCUGAAGACACUGUGAGCUGCAAACUGGGGAUGUGAGUAUUUCAAUGCAGAUACCCAAAUGUCCACGGUCUGGCCACUUGAUGACAGGACAUAAGACUGUGAGUCAUUUAGAAAACUGCAGAAAUUGAUUUUGGCUGGCUAACUCACACAGGCUCUCCCUCUCUCAAGAGGAAAGCCCAAAGGAUUUGUUAAGUCUGGGGUUGUUCAUUCUGGAGAAAAGGAGGUCCAAGAGAGACCUGAUCGCUCUCUAUAACUGCCUGAAAGGAGGCCAUGGCAAGGUGGGGGUUGGCCUGUGCUCCAAGGUGACAGCAGUAGGAUGAGAGGGAAUGGCAUCAUGCUGCCCCAGAGGAUGUUCAGGUUGGGUAUUAGGAAGAAAUUCUUCUCAGAGUCAUGAGGCAGUGGCACAGGCUGCCAGGGGAAGUGGUGGAGUCCCUGGAGGUGUUCAAGAACUGUGUGGAUGUGGCAUUGAAAAAUAACACAAUUGUCUCCAAGUAGCUGAUUUGUGUUUCAUAUUAAUCUUAUCAAGUAAUUAAAAUGCUUUUUUUUUUUUUUUUUAAUGAAAGGUGGUUACACAGCUCUACGGUUGAAAAUCUUUGCAGAUGAAUUCUGUGGGUAAGAACUUCAAGGCUAUGUGAGGCAGGGGGAUGUUCUUUGCAUGUUAAAAGUUUCAAAAUCAUGACUCAUGUAGAAGAGUUAAAGAUGACUUUCAUGGCUUGAUCAUGAAGCCAGCUUGAAAUUUCAAAUGUCAUCUCAGAACAACAAGCAUUAACUGCUUCUCCAGGCCUGGCCACAAUGGGGAAGCUUGUCCUGGCACAGCGUUAUCACUACUGAAGAGACACUCUGCCAUCCAUCUCCCAAACUUAAUGGCCAAAUAACAAGAGGCAGUUCAUGGCACUCACAAGAAAUGGACACAAUGGAUUCUUGAAGGUUUUGCAGACUCGCUUCAGCUCUAGUUUGAGAAUCCAGUGUCACUGAGCUUUUGCUUGCUUAGGAAAUAUAGUGAAAAAAUUUUGAGAUGAUGAAAUGGCGAAAGAGGGUGUUUUUUUCCUCCAAGCAAUCUCCUGCUUUAGAUAACCAACAAUAUAGCAGUUGUAUAGGAGAGCAUUUUAGAUGCAUGGCAGCAGGAGUGUUCCAUGGUGCUUUGCAGUUCUUGGUUAUUGGUUUAUCCCGGGGACUUACAGCAUUCCAUUAUUGCCAGCACUUCUGUAGUCCCAUGCUAGCACAGGGCUACGGCACCUUGCGGCUGUAUGACACUGCAAACCUGGACAAAGAAGGAAAAUCUGUCAUCAGCUUAAGUGGUUCUAGCCUAGUACUUGCAGUUUUUAAAACAUGGGGACCUUCCCUGAUCUUUUGUGUUGUGAAACCAUUAUUCUGUUUUUAAAGCUGUAUAAAGUGCUUUGCCAGUAUAAAUAACAGUAACUUAAAGAUCUAUAUCAAAAUUUUCUCUUCUUCAGUAGCUCUCUUAUUCCAAAAGCGUUUGCUGUAUGAAACAAUGAUGAGAAAUGGAACUAGCAGCCAAAGACAAGCUGUCUACAGAGUCUGAUUUUAACAGAUUAUUUUUAUUAGAAAAAACUGGGGAGUGAUUGUGAAUGACAACUGGGAGAGCUCUUUCUCCACACUUACUCCACAUCAAUCUUAAAUGAGUAUCUCCUUCAAGGCGUAUCUCAUCUGCUCCAGUUUUAGCAGCAACUUAAUAAAGUGCAUUUAUCACCUCUUCUCCACCUAAAAGCUUGGCUAGUUCUGCCUUCACGUGGCUCCUAACGUAUGUGUCAACCCCUUUUCCUAAAAAUGCAGUGAUUAAUUUUUGUUGAGGAGCAUUUCCUCCUUUCUCACUCCUUGAGGCUAGCCUCACUGGGCACUUGUGUUGCUACACUAAAAACUGUUCAUUUUUCCUUAGUUCAUCUUUUAUUGAGAACUGGUAAUGGUUGUAGGAGGGUAUUUGUGAUCCCUCUGCCUUCAUCUUCCAAUGCUGUAGGGCACAGGCAUGGUGAGCAGUGUUUCUUUUGCAGCAGGGAAACGUUCCUUUCUUCCAAGCUUCCAACACCACUUGAUGGAUGUGCACAGAGACUUUGGGGCACGCUCCUCAGCUGGAGCUACAGUUUGCCUAAAAUCCCAGGUGCUACAUAGAUAUUAAUUAACUUUGAUGUUGUUUAAUGGUACUCAGUGUGCAUUUUAAUGAGACGUACCUCAUACCAUGUGUCAGGCCCAGGCCAGGCUAUGCUGUCAUCUGAAACUCCACAGGAAAGAAAAACACACCAUUAAAUGAUGGAAGAAAAUUGUGUCUUGGUACUAUGUAAAGAUCCAUUAUAUUUUUCCUUCUGCUUUUCAUUCAAAAUAUUGAUGUUCUUGUUACAUUGAAAGGUGGUGGGAAUAACUCAGACCACAGGGUAUUUCUCAGUUGUUGUGCGUUAUGGGCUGGCCUUGGGGCAUCUUCUCUCCAUCCCAUUCCUAUGAGGGCCAGCCAACCAACUUCUGAGCUCACUCCUUUUCCUUUGCCCUGUCUCUUGGAAGGGAUAGGAGAGAGUGGGGACCCAAAUUUGCUGGAGGGCGCUACUUUCAGGUGAAGGAUGUCUGGCCUCCCCUCCAGCAUUACCUCCAGUGCUGCCAGCCCUUUUCUCUCCUUCCCUACGAUGUGCACGUUUCCACAAUCACAGCUCUCCUUACUUUUUCUGCUGUCAGCAACUGCCCUAGGUGCUACAGAUGUGUAUUGAGGAGCCCACUCAAGCUUAAGGCGGAUAAAUGGUUUCAGAAAUUAGCCUUGACUGAGUCUCCAGGGUGAAAAAUGGAGGCAUUUCUCUCAUACGUGUUAAGACUUGCUCAAUGUGUGCUCUGCAUCCACUGUCCAAAGCCACUGCUGCUCACUUGCUUUGUUUGGACUGGAUGGCAUCACUGACACGUUGGUUUUAUGUAUUGCAAUAAUUUCUGGAGUAACUUUAUUUUAGCCUCACUUUAUCAACUGCUUAUUCCGCAAUAAAAAUUUCUCUUGGCCCACCAAGACAGAGCACAGCAUGGGCUGCCCAGCUGCAUUAGGAAGAAGAUUGAAUAACCAGCAGUCCUUCUGUCUCAGCAAUGGGAAAGAGGAAUGAGCAGGAGAAGUAAACUACCUUUUCAUGUGGGAACAGGGAGUUUGUAAUAAGAAAGAAGUCAUUCAGAAAUAAAUGACUGAGAUGGCAUUCAAAACAUGCACAUACAGAGGUAUAUUCUCACACAAAGACUUGUAAGAAUUAUUUGAGAGAGGCAACUGGUGCUGUCCCUUGCCCACCACUGGGAGCCAUCUUUUGUCUUUGCUUUGUUCUCCCCGCAAUGAUAUAUAUGGGGGCAAGAAAUGACUUGACAAGAAUCUAAUCUUGUAACAAAUACAAAAGUAAUAUCAUGCUGUGUUAUAACUGUAGUUCAGCUUUACUCCAGGUCCUGCGUGACAAUGCUCAGCACUAUACUCUCAGGCUGCCUUUCAGGGAAGGUGCCUCAUCCAGGAAAGAGUUUGCAGAGAAUAUCCAUGGUGGUUUCCUCAAUCCAACGUAUGUUAAACUCUUAGGUCAAAGCUGCUGGCAACGUUAAGGUCUGUCUGUGGUCUUCUCAUAGAGACAGUAGUGCUCAUCUGCAGAAAUUGCCUCACACCUGGAGGAGCAGAAAUAUGUUUUAUAAUUUAGCAAAGGUUACUGAAGUGUUGGCUAGACGGAGGAGCAGACUGGUUAACCUCAUGUCAAUUUUAUUAGCGUGAAAAGAGCUUAAAUUUAUAUCUGGAAAUAUAAUUUAUGAGAUCUGACUUCUUUUUUUUUUUUUUUUUUUUUUGAAGUGCAUGACCUGUAUAUAUCUUCACUGCAUUUCUAAGCUUACUGGGCUGUCAGCAUAUGUGUAUCCUGAGAGUUGAGAGAGAAAUAAUUGUGUGUGAUCUUUCAUGUUUACUGUUUGAGUAAGAUCCAAACUGUUCCUGUGCACAAGGAGCCAAAGGCAAAACAUUUGUGCAGAAAAAGCUGUGUCUACAUGAUCUGGUAAUGCAGUCCAGUAGGAGUAGAUCUGUAGAGCACUGGAGCUCUAAGGUGCAAAUCUAGCAAUAUCCGUGCAUCCAUAUUCCAUGAUAUUCAUGCAUCAAGAUGCUUCCCUUUAGAAGCUUCCAGUCCAGACCUGUUGAUGGCCAGUAGAGACUGGAACAAUGCAGUAUGGGUGUCCCACAUCUCCCAGUUUAGUUUAAUUGGAAGAAAAUCUGGUUUGUGUUCUUGGUAGUCAUGCUGUGUUGCAAACCAACGUGUGUGAGAAGUGAAAAGGAAGAGGAGAAUUGCUUUAAAAGCUCUCCCCUCAUCUGAACAAAGUUUUGAACCAAAGAAGGAAAAAAACCCCACCGAUUAAAGAAGCACAUCACGCAUUUCCACACCCAGUUCUCACAUCCAGAAAGGAAGAAAAAAAAAAAAAAGAGGGAAGAGAAAAUUGACAAGUUUGUUCAGCACCUGUUGCAGCAUCAACUGUGCAUAAAUGAAGUGGGGAGCCUUCACUUCAAGAGGUAUUGGGGAGUCAUGCAGUUGUCAGUCAGCUUUGAAGUAUGACCAAUCAGCAAAUACUCUGGAGGUCUUACUUUAUUAAAUGAAAAAUGCAAUUUAGAUUUUAGGUUCUGUGUUUAAAAUAAAAUUUCCCCCUUGGUUUUAAAUUCCCAUUCCUGUUAUUCUCCAGCUGAUCUCCAGACUGAACAGGUGAAGUUACAUCCCUGCAUCGUGAGACUGAAGCAGCACAUACUGCACUGGUGGAUUUACUUCUUGUCCACAUCAAAAUGCAGAGACUGCUCCAUUCAUCAGGUCCAUGGCAUACAAAGGAGAUGUUAUCAACAUGUAUCUUGUGUCCUAGCAAGGAAAACUGAGAAUCAGCAGAAGCAUUCAGGCAAACAGGAACAGAUGCCUGAAAGAUCUCAUAUCAGCAGCAGGUGGAAUGGCUUGUAGGUAAAAUACCUGUAAAUGAAGCCUCUUCCCAACAGUCCCAGGUAUGCACUGCAGAAGCUGCUGCGAAGGACAGAAGCAUCAGCACCAUUCACCUUGUGUUUUCUUGUCCUUGUAUUCAA